GAGCGUGAGUGGAAUUCACGAGUGUAGAGGCUGAAGAUUCGUAGAUAUUCGGAGGAACACCAGUGGCGAAGGCGGCUCCAGCUGGCAAUCCGGAUACUGAUCGCUGAGGUGCGGAAAGCGUUGGGGAGCAAUCGCGGAUUAGAUACCCUUGGUAGUCCAACCCAUUGUAUGACGUGUGAAUGCCAUUCGUACGGCAUAAGCCAUGGACUUGUCGGUCAUCCCCACCUUCCUCCGGUUUAAGAUUUCCCCCUGGGCAGUACGGCCGCAAAAGUUCCCAACUAAAUGAUGGCAAUUGACGGGGGCCCGAACAAGGGGUGGAGCAUCGUUGGGUUAAUUUCAAACCCAACAUCUCACGACACGAGCUGACGAAACCCAUGCAGCACCUGUGUUCAGGAGGUCCCUUUCGGGCACAUCUCAAAUUUCCUCAAAAGGGACUCCCUGACCCCAGUUGUUCCAAGGUUUUGGUAAGUCGGUUUCUGCGCGUUGCUUCGAAUUAAUCCCGCCAACAAUGCGCCACCGCUUGUGCGGGCCCCCGUAAAUUCCCUUAUUUAAGUUGGUAACUUUGGCGGCCGUACUCCCCAGGCGGAAUCCUUAACCCGAGGAAAGGUGGGGUUCACCGCCAAGCCUCCAUGGCCCUUUUGCCGACGAAGGGGCAUUCAUCCGUAUUACAUGGGCCGUGAACUACCAGGGUGCUCUAACCCCCUGUUUGCUCCCAACGCCAAUUCCCAACAUAAGCCGUUCAGUAUUCCGGUUUGCCAGGUUGAAAGCCCGCCUUCGCCAUUGAGGUGGGAUUCCCUCCGAAUAAUCUUGAACCGGAAUUUCACGUUAAUUACUUCCCCUCGGAAUUUUCCCCACCUCCACCUCCUUCACGACCUCAAAAGACCCUUAACAGUGACCUUUCAGCAAGGCAAGAUUCCUCAAACGGGUCUACUUAUGGAGCCCUGGAGUAAUUUCACCUCUGACUUGUCAGUCCGCCUACGUGCGCUUUACGCCGGAGUAAUGCCGAAUGGCGAUUCCAC
rnacentral:rRNA from 1 species